AAUUUACUCCCUUCGUCCGGAAAUACUUGUCCGUGGAAUGGAUGAAUCUAGAUGUAUUUUAGUUCUAGAUACAUCCAUUUGUAUCCAUUUUUCCGAUAAGUAUUUAUGGACAGAGGGAAUAGUUC
rfam:Triticum aestivum genome assembly, contig: Triticum_aestivum_CS42_TGACv1_scaffold_500063_6BL